UCAACAAAUCUAUGCAAUGAAGAGUCAGAAGAUUUGUGCCAAGAUAUGGAGAGUGAUGACCAAGAAUAUUGUUAAUGGAAUAGUCUAUUAUGUUCAUCAGGGGGAAGCUCUUGUUGCAAUGGUGAUCAUUGGUCUUGUUAUCUCCGUAUAUGUGGCAUUACUUAGACAAAUUAUAUGAAUAUAUGCUUUUUGGAUUAUGAUAUCUUGUAUCAGGAAUGUUUACGUACUAUUUGAUACACAAUGUGUUCCAAAAUUGUUCUUAAUCCGUUGUUUAUG